rnacentral:rRNA from 1 species
UAGAGUUUGAUCCUGGCUCACCUUGAACGCUGGCGGCAUGCCUUACACAUGCAAGUCGGACGGCAGCGCGGGCUUCGGCCUGGCGGCGAGUGGCGAACGGGUGAGUAAUACAUCGGAACGUGUCCUGUAGUGGGGGAUNNNNNNGCGAAAGCCGGAUUAAUACCGCAUACGAUCUAUGGAUGAAAGCGGGGGAUCUUCGGACCUCGUGCUAUAGGGGCGGCCGAUGGCGGAUUAGCUAGUUGGUGGGGUAAAGGCUCACCAAGGCGACGAUCCGUAGCUGGUCUGAGAGGACGACCAGCCACACUGGGACUGAGACACGGCCCAGACUCCUACGGGAGGCAGCAGUGGGGAAUUUUGGACAAUGGGGGCAACCCUGAUCCAGCAAUGCCGCGUGUGUGAAGAAGGCCUUCGGGUUGUAAAGCACUUUUGUCCGGAAAGAAAUCCUAAUGGCUAAUAUCCGUUGGGGAUGACGGUACCGGAAGAAUAAGCACCGGCUAACUACGUGCCAGCAGCCGCGGUAAUACGUAGGGUGCGAGCGUUAAUCGGAAUUACUGGGCGUAAAGCGUGCGCAGGCGGUUCGCUAAGACCGAUGUGAAAUCCCCGGGCUUAACCUGGGAACUGCAUUGGUGACUGGCGGGCUAGAGUAUGGCAGAGGGGGGUAGAAUUCCACGUGUAGCAGUGAAAUGCGUAGAGAUGUGGAGGAAUACCGAUGGCGAAGGCAGCCCCCUGGGCCAAUACUGACGCUCAUG